rnacentral:rRNA from 1 species
CAGCAGCCGCGGGAACACGUAGGGUGCAAGCGUUAAUCGGAAUUACUGGGCGUAAAGCGCACGCAGGCGGUCUGUCAAGUCAGAUGUGAAAUCCCCGGGCUUAACCUGGGAACUGCAUUUGAAACUGGCAGGCUAGAGUCUUGUAGAGGGGGGUAGAAUUCCAGGUGUAGCGGUGAAAUGCGUAGAGAUCUGGAGGAAUACCGGUGGCGAAGGCGGCCCCCUGGACGAAGACUGACGCUCAGGUACGAAAGCGUGGGGAGCAAACAGGAUUAGAUACCCCAGUAGUCCCUGUCUCUUAUAC